rnacentral:rRNA from 1 species
CCUACGGGAGGCAGCAGUGGGGGAUAUUGCACAAUGGGGGAAACCCUGAUGCAGCGACGCCGCGUGGGCGAAGAAGUAUUUCGGUAUGUAAAGCCCUAUCAGCAGGGAAGAAGAACUGACGGUACCUGAGUAAGAAGCACCGGCUAACUACGUGCCAGCAGCCGCGGUAAUACGUAUGGUGCAAGCGUUAUCCGGAUGUAAUGGGUGGAAAGGGAGCGCAGGCGGCACGGCAAGCCUGAUGUGAAAGCCCGCGGCCCAACCGCGGGACUGCAUUGGGAACUACCGGGCUGGAGUGCCGGAGAGGUAGGCGGAAUUCCUAGUGUAGCGGUGAAAUGCGUAGAUAUUAGGAGGAACACCAGUGGCGAAGGCGGCCUACUGGACGGUGACUGACGCUGAGGCUCGAAAGCGUGGGGAGCAAACAGGAUUAGAUACCCUAGUAGUC